UGUCAGUCCCCGAUCCCCUUUCCCUAACCACGCCCUAAUCGCGCGCAUGUGUAUUACGUCACUUCCUCUUUGCCGCCAACAUUUGCGACGGUGGAGAGUUUUGGAUUUGAUUUGCGUCAGCUGGAUUUGAUUUCCGACAGGUGGGUGAUCGGGUAUCCGAAACAGAGAUCCAACAAUAACAGCUAAUUGCCACAGUUGCUACUAUUCCAUAAACGGAUCAAUCUUUCAACAGAGUUACUCCACCACGUUCAAAGGAUGACUGCAGUUACAAACAUAAAGAUGAAUAUGUCCUGGACAAAAACCGUCCUCCAGGAGAGCUCAUAGUGAAGGAGGAUGAUAUCUGCUCAACCUGUGAAGACUUUAGGAUCCUGAGUAUGACACAAUGGAUGGAAUCCUCCGAGAAAAUGUCUACAUUGAUGACCUUUAUUACCUUUAUUACCACCUGGAAGGAUCUCUAAGAUGACCUACUGCGCUCCUUGCUGGUACUAUUUUGAUCUUUUUUUUGUUUGUUUUUUCUCCUGUGUGUGCAUGUGUGUGUCUAUGUACAUGUAUGUGUGUGUGUCUGUGUGCAUGUUUACUAAUUAGUAUCAAUGUAGGAAACCUUCAGGUCAGAGGUCAUGCUGAUGUUUCCACUUAGAGCAGACAGACAGGUCCAGCUGAUCUCUACCUGCUUUGUGUGAGUGUCCUCGGUCUUUCUCACUCUGUGUUUUUAAUAGGAUAGAGAAGAAAAGGAGAGGUUGAUGUGUCGUGUUUUGUGGAUGAUGAUGAUAACGUCUCUGUUCAGACAAUAUUUAUAGCUGAGAAACAGAAGCUCUUUCUGGACUCACUUCACCCUGAUGGUUUUGGUGAUGAUCUCUACAGAACAAUAUUUAGGUUGAUGCUGCAGAAAUGAAAAGUUGCUCUGACCUUGUUCAAGGACAAGUGUGAUCUUUGGAUAGACUGUCUAACAGCAGCCUGUUAGGUUCUCAGGCUGAAAG